rnacentral:rRNA from 1 species
AUACGGAGGGUGCAAGCGUUACUCGGAAUCACUGGGCGUAAAGCGCGCGCAGGCGGCCCGAUAAGUUGGAUGUGAAAGCCUACGGCUCAACCGUAGAACUGCAUCCAAAGCUGUCGGGCUAGAGUCUGGGAGGGGAAGAUGGAAUUAGUUGUGUAGGGGUAAAAUCCGUAGAGAUAACUAGGAAUACCAAAAGCGAAGGCGAUCUUCUGGAACAGUACUGACGCUGAGGCGCGAAAGCGUGGGGAGCAAACAGGAUUUGAAACCCCUGUAGUCC